AUGGUGGUAAGCUCCAUCGAGGAUGAUACUCCAUUCACGUAUUAUCCUCGAUUUUUUUAAGCACCGAACGGUAUUAUCCUUGAUUUUAAUCCCGGUAUUAACUUUAGUGCGCUGAUAUUGGGGCACUAAAGUUAAUCCGAGAUUUUGUGUAAAGUGGCUGCGUGCUUGUAACAAGAAUUCACGCACACCGUAUUAGCAUCGAAAACGUCAGAAGAAAAUGAUGAUCAAAACAAAAACAUCUGAUAGCGGUCUCGUCGUUGAGUUGUAAUUGUCGCUAGGAGUGCAGAUUUUCUUUCUUCAGCAACAUAAAAGAAUACUCGCCGGGUUGAGCAGGAAUGAGCUGAUGCAAAGGUUAAACGAUUGGGCAAGUAAUGUGGAUACUAAAACAUUAGCAUCGGCACAGUCGAACAAGCAAAUGCAGUGCCUAAUUCAAAUAACGAUCGAAUCGUUGAAGAUCCGUAAGAGGACGAUCAGGUGAAGAAAAUGUUCUGAGGUUAUUGAACGGUAAACCUUCUGCUACACCUGGAUCGAAUAACUCGUCAAACAGGAAAUGAGUAUGCCACUUGAGCAUCGAAAUACGAAUUCCAAUCGACCUGUUGCUGAAGCAUUUCAACGACGGUGACUGGAUCAUAUUACCUCUAUGAAAAUUUGGCACCCUCAGGACGCCACUUCUUCCGGACCAUAUGAUACGAUGUCCAGAAAACGUACAGUAGCUGGAUUCUGGAAGCUAAUAGGUUAGUUUUAGCACAAAUUGUAUGCAACAUUUAUUAUUGGAAUAAAAUUCGGGGUCAUUUUGGGCACCGUAAAGAAGCGUAAACUUAUUCUACGAAUAGAAUAAUGUUUAGGUCUCGCAGCGAAGUGAUAAAUCUCGACUCGGAAGCGACGAGUCCCCGAU